ACCUGUUUACGUUUGCGUGCUUCGAAAGCGUAAGCCGACGCCGGUUUGCCACCUGAAUUUGCUUCCCCUCGCCAGCCGGCCACCACACCUCCGGCGGACCGAAUUCCCCAGUGGCCUCGACCCGCGCGCUCGCCCGCCCGUCCGCUCCCGUAGCGGUUCCAACUCCGGUAAGCCCUACCUCGCUCCGAUCCCUGCUCGAAUUUUGCUGCCGCCGGCAACACCGGUUGCCUCCAAAUCUGUGCGGCCGCGAUUGCUUCUAAAUUUUGCUCCGUCCCGUUCUGGUUCGAUGCGCUGUGACUGUGAGCGCGGUAGGGAGUCUAGUGCUGUGACUCAGUCUGUUUGUAGGUUCCGCUUAGAGUUUUGUUGCUUCUAGCGGCGCGAUUGUGCUUGCAGUCCAGAUGUUUUCUGGUGCUGCCUGUGACUGAGGAACGGUAACUCUUUUGUUGAUGCAGUCUGCUCUUAUACCGCUCCAUGUGAUGGAUUUCCUUUUUGUUUGCUCUAGGCUCUGUCCAAAAUUAAGCAAAUAGUGAUCGGAGAAAUGCUUAGUGGCUAGUCUCCUUCCUUUUGGCCAUGAGUGUUGUUAAUUUAAGUUCCACUGUCGGACAGGCUUCUGUUCUUUCAGUGGUUUAUAUUCCGCUGGCUUCAGUUAUUUUUGUUUCAAUUCUGACUGGGUUAGUGGCAUGUGCAAUCGAUAGCAUGCAGUCAGGAGUUGAAUGCUGUGACUCAGACUGUUUAUAAUGUGCAAUUCAACUGUUAUUUCUGGUAGCCUUGCAAUUGUGUUCGUGUCUCACUCGUCCCUCCCAUUUGUGUAUGGGAGGAGCAGUAGUUCUUUUGUUGGUAUCAUUUGGUCUUUACACUGAUUCGUUUGCUGGAUUUCUCCGUGGCUGUUCUAUAGAUUCUGUCGAAAUUUAGACGAGUAGUGGUUGGAGACACUCAUCCUCGAUUUGGUUGUUUACUGUUUUUUUGUUAACUUAGGUAAAACUUCCUGCUGGCUUCUAUUUCUUCAGUGCUACAUUGGGCUGAAAUUUGUUUCGUUGUCCUUAUGGAUAACUUCUUUUGCUGCAGCUUAUUAUUUUUUGUACUGCGAUAUGAGCUGGCGUUUUAUCGUUGUGGUUUGUUUUGAUGCAAACUUGUGCUUGACCUAGUAUCGUUUGUAUGACUGUACCCAAAAGUUUAUAUACUGACAAAUGUAAACCUAGCCCUUUUUUUAGGACUUGAACAUAGCUUUAUUUUGACACCACAUAGUAUUGAUGGAUGACUGGCUUGCUAUUGUGCUCACAUAUCACAGCUUUUCUUGCUGAUAUGUUCGAAAUUGAAUGGUCUAGUGUUACUUUUCUGUAAAUUUGCAUUGUAGAUCUUCAGACGUCUUCUCAAACUUUAGCAGUGUCGUUAGAAUUCAUUAAGGUAUCCAAGAACUGGUUUGACACGAGGAUCGUUUAUGUCAACAAUGUGUUUUGAUUUCGAAAAAAACUUUUUUGGUUGUACAGCAAAGUGUUUUCUAUACAAUUUAUUUCUCAAAACUGUUAUAUAGGGGUUGUAGCUUGAUAGUUCUUGAAAUGCAAUUAGCAAAUCUACCAGAAAACAACAUGCUGCAGCAUUUUUGUUGAUAACUUAAUGCGUCUGUUUGCUGAUGUAUUCUCAUUUGAAAUUAAAUGUUUUUUCUUAGCUUUAUUCUGAUAAUCCAUAUAGAAAUGCUUUAUCAUUGAUGAUGGUUAGCAACUCACUCUUUACCCUUGUCUCGCAUCAUGUUCUUUGAAGUUAAGAUAUAUUUACUUUAUGAAUACUUAUGAACGACAGAUGGGAUUACCAGAUGAAAGAGUGCAAGUAGAUGCACUAGAAAGACAUUUAUUGGGUGGUUUAUCUUCAAACUACUAUAACAGAAGUAUUGAGGAUGAGGUCCUCCAUGAUGCAUCAUUUGCAGAAAUGGAAGAUAAUUUUGUUAAGUAUAAAAUUUCCCAGUGGAUUCUUUUACCUUUAUUACUAGUGUUAGCUUGGGGAGUAGGAGUGCUCAUGCUACUUUACCUACCUAUUCGGAUAUAUGUAUGUCGGAGGGACUUCUGCUCAAGGAAGUUGUAUUUGACACCACAUGCUGUUGUUUAUAAGGUAAACAAGCCUGUUGCAUUUCCUUGUUUUGGGGUUUUCAAGGAGAAAUAUGUUAUCCUCCCUUCAAUUUCUGAUGUUGUUGUUGAGCAAGGUUAUCUCCAAUCCUUUUUUGGGGUAUAUUCUAUCAGAAUUGAGAAUGUUGGUGUUAGAAAGCCUCCUAGUGAUGAUGUAAAAAUAACUGGGGUUGCUCACCCACAUGAUUUCAGGAAGGCUGUUUUAAUCCAUCUUUUGAACAUAAGGAACCUGAAUUUCAGUAGGAGAGCCCCAUCUGAUGGACAACAGAGCACAAAUUGGAAUCCUAUAGCUAGUGCUUCAGAGCCUCCUCUUGGGGAUUUGAUACUAGAGAAGCUUGAUGAAGUUGAAAUCUCUGUAAAGAAAAUGCAAGCAAUGGUACAGGGUGUUGAAACUUCGAAAACAAAGACCACAUCCAGUUGAUUAAAUAUAUGUGGACGCUUGACAGGGUCACUGUCGCUGGCUCCCUGUAUGGUUUCUGUUCACAAUACUGUACCUGUGCCAAGCAAGAAUUUUAUUGGAAAAGGUCCAUUUGUGCAGAAAUCAAAAGUGGAGGACAAGCAUAGCGCGGAGCCAGUGGUGGACAGGUGUAGCGCAGCCGUCAUGGACGCCGAGCCGGUAGAGGACAGGCGUAGUGCCAUCAGGCACGCAGAGGACACCGACGCUCGUGGCCUUCCACCACGAGGUGCGGGGACGGACGCUGGGGCCGGGGCGCGUGGGGUGGUUGUGCUGCCGGCUUUGGAAGAGACUAGAAGUGAAUAUGACGUCCUCACGUCCUACAGAUAACGAGUAACUGUCAGAUUACUCAUUAUAGUGUAAAUCCAAACAACCUGUAAAUUAGAACGAUAGCUUAUAUGUAGAAAUAGGAACUUAUGUGUGUAGUAAAUAUGAUAUUUAAAUCAAUCAAGCUCAAUCUAAAUGACGAGAAGUCCUAAUUACUAGAAAAAUAAGAUAUAAAUGAUCAUUGAUUAACUUAAAUAACUAGUGAUUAAGUAAAAUAGAUUUUAUGUGCAUGAAUCAUUAGGGGGGCUGUGGUCCCUGCCAGCCCCCCCUGCUCCGCCACUGCCCGCAGCAGGAAGAAAAGAUCGAAUUUUGAUGAUUAUGUUUUUUUAGUAAAAUUGUAAUUCUAGCUUUGUUAUUGCUGAAAUUUUUUGCCUGUAAUCUUUUAUUUUCUUGUUAUAUUUUUGGUCCUUUUUGUUGUACUUUUUAGCCACCAAUGGAAAACAAAAGCUUCAAACAAACAUGUAGCUUAGUUUUGUUAUUGCUCUGAGGCCGCCAUAGAGUAGACAUUUUUUGUAAAUAUGCUUUUCUUUGCUAGUAUUUUGGGUGCUAUAAAUAUUUGGUAAGUA